AGUCCACGCCCUAAACGAUGUCAACUAGUUGUCGGGUCUUAAUCGACUUGGUAACGCAGCUAACGCGUGAAGUUGACCGCCUGGGGAGUACGGUCGCAAGAUUAAAACUCAAAGGAAUUGACGGGGACCCGCACAAGCGGUGGAUGAUGUGGAUUAAUUCGAUGCAACGCGAAAAACCUUACCUACCCUUGACAUGUACGGAAUCCUUGAGAGAUCAGGGAGUGCUCGAAAGAGAGCCGUAACACAGGUGCUGCAUGGCUGUCGUCAGCUCGUGUCGUGAGAUGUUGGGUUAAGUCCCGCAACGAGCGCAACCCUUGUCAUUAGUUGCUACGAAAGGGCACUCUAAUGAGACUGCCGGUGACAAACCGGAGGAAGGUGGGGAUGACGUCAAGUCCUCGUGGCCCUUAUGGGUAGGGCUUCACACGUCAUACAAUGGUACAUACAGAGGGCCGCCAACCCGCGAGGGGGAGCUAAUCCCAGAAAGUGUAUCGUAGUCCGGAUUGGAGUCUGCAACUCGACUCCAUGAAGUUGGAAUCGCUAGUAAUCGCGGAUCAGCAUGUCGCGGUGAAUACGUUCCCGGGUCUUGUACACACCGCCCGUCACACCAUGGG
rnacentral:rRNA from 1 species